rnacentral:rRNA from 1 species
GCGUUGCGCGNCGGGUGAGNCCGUGGGCACCUGCCUGNAACUGGANACUUCGGAACCAAGCUANCCGANGAUCUUCUCCUUCUGGAAAUAUUGAANAUGGUUUCGGCUAUCACUNACAAUUGGGCCCGCGGUGNAUNAGCUAGUUGGUGAGGUAACGGCUCACCAGGCAACGAUGCAUAGCCGACCUGAGAGGUUGAUCGGCCCACUGGGACUGAGACACGGCCNAACCUCCUACGGGAGGCAGCAGUAGGGAAUCUUCCGCAAUGGACGAAAGUCUGACGGAGCAACGCCGCGUGAGUGAUGAAGGCUUUCGGGUCGUAAAACUCUGUUGUUAGGGAAGACCAAGUACGAGAGUAACUGCUCGUACCUGGACGGUACCUAACCAGAAAGCCACGGCUAACUACGUGCCAGCAGCCGCGGUAAUACGUAGGUGGCAAGCGUAUCAUUUUUGGGG